GAAUAAGGCCAUCUGGCUGUGGUACCCAUUGAUGUCAUCACAUUGAUUGCUAGGGUUGAUCUGACCGAUCGGCCUGGCUGGGUGGGGGUCUCCCUUCUCCCUCACUGCUCCAUGUGUGUCCCAUCUAAAAGGAUGACAACUCCCAACAGAGGAGAACCACUUCCUCAGUCAAGGGUAUAGGAGUAACUGUGCUCCCCUGCUAGGACCCCCAGACAACUUCCCAAGAAAAAUGAUGAAUGAAUACAAACAGGAAUUAAAAAAAUAUAGAUUCU
rnacentral:snRNA from 1 species